CGGGACGGGGUGGAGUAAUGUCUGGGAAACUAGCCUGAUGGAGGGGGGUAACUACUGGAAACGGUAGCUAAUACCGCAUAACGUCGCAAGACCAAAGAAGGGGGGACCGUUCGGGGCCCUUGCCAUCGGAUGUGCCCAGAUGGGAUUAGCUAGUAGGUGGGGUAACGGCUCACCUAGGCGACGAUCCCUAGCUGGUCUGAGAGGAUGACCAGCCACACUGGAACUGAGACACGGUCCAG
rnacentral:rRNA from 1 species